rnacentral:rRNA from 1 species
UGGGGAAUCUUGGACAAUGGGCGAAAGCCUGAUCCAGCCAUGCCGCGUGUGUGAAGAAGGUCUUCGGAUUGUAAAGCACUUUAAGUUGGGAGGAAGGGCAGUAAGUUAAUACCUUGCUGUUUUGACGUUACCGACAGAAUAAGCACCGGCUAACUCUGUGCCAGCAGCCGCGGUAAUACAGAGGGUGCAAGCGUUAAUCGGAAUUACUGGGCGUAAAGCGCGCGUAGGUGGUUUGUUAAGUUGGAUGUGAAAGCCCCGGGCUCAACCUGGGAACUGCAUCCAAAACUGGCAAGCUAGAGUACGGUAGAGGUGGUGGAAUUUCCUGUGUAGCAGUGAAAUGCGUAGAUAUAGGAAGGAACACCAGUGGCGAAGGCGACCACCUGGACUGAUACUGACACUGAGGUGCGAAAGCGUGGGGAGCAAACAGGAUUAGAUACCCACGUAGUCCCUGAGCGGGCUGGCAAGGCGCAU